rnacentral:lncRNA from 1 species
UGGACAAUGACUAUUUCCAAGUUAUGCAUAUAAGAAACACAAAAGUGCGCCAUGAACUAUUGUCAAAUUGAGGCAGUGCUUUGAGGUACAACUAAAACAAUUUGUAUAUGAAGAAUCCACCGACCAUUAAACAAGUUGCAACUUCUGUUACCCGCAAAGACAUUUGUAAACUCUUCAAACAAGAAGUCGGUGGAUCAUUAUUUCGCUCAUAUCCAACAGUAUUGGUUCUGGGGUGGUAAAGAAGGCAGAAAGUGAGAUGAACGGUUAAAAAGAACAAUAGUGAAGGUGAAGCUACAUUACACAUAUCGAGUAAUCUCUCGUUCAUCAACAUUUGAUUUCUGCAGGGUGAUACUGAU